rnacentral:rRNA from 1 species
UACGUAGGGGGCAAGCGUUGUCCGGAUUUAUUGGGCGUAAAGAGCGUGUAGGCGGCCAGACAAGUCUGCUGUGAAAACUCGAGGCUCAACCUCGAGCUGUCGGUGGAAACUGUCUGGCUAGAGUCCGGAAGAGGAGAGUGGAAUUCCUGGUGUAGCGGUGAAAUGCGUAGAUAUCGGGAGGAACACCAGUGGCGAAGGCGACUACCUGGCCUGUUCUUGACGCUGAGGCGCGAAAGCUAGGGGAGCAAACGGG